CUACGUGCCAGCAGCCGCGGUAAUACGUAGGGUGCGAGCGUUAAUCGGAAUUACUGGGCGUAAAGCGAGCGCAGACGGUUACUUAAGCAGGAUGUGAAAUCCCCGGGCUCAACCUGGGAACUGCGUUCUGAACUGGGUGACUAGAGUGUGUCAGAGGGAGGUAGAAUUCCACGUGUAGCAGUGAAAUGCGUAGAGAUGUGGAGGAAUACCGAUGGCGAAGGCAGCCUCCUGGGAUAACACUGACGUUCAUGCUCGAAAGCGUGGGUAGCAAACAGGAUUAGAUACCCUGGUAGUCCACGCCCUAAACGAUGUCGAUUAGCUGUUGGGCAGCUUGACUGCUUAGUAGCGUAGCUAACGCGUGAAAUCGACCGCCUGGGGAGUACGGUCGCAAGAUUAAAACUCAAAGGAAUUGACGGGGACCCGCACAAGCGGUGGAUGAUGUGGAUUAAUUCGAUGCAACGCGAAGAACCUUACCUGG
rnacentral:rRNA from 1 species